rnacentral:rRNA from 1 species
UGCAUCGGAACGUGCCCAGUAGUGGGGGAUAGCCCGGCGAAAGCCGGAUUAAUACCGCAUACGACCUAAGGGUGAAAGCGGGGGAUCGCAAGACCUCGCGCUAUUGGAGCGGCCGAUGUCAGAUUAGGUAGUUGGUGGGGUAAAAGCCUACCAAGCCGACGAUCUGUAGCUGGUCUGAGAGGACGACCAGCCACACUGGGACUGAGACACGGCCCAGACUCCUACGGGAGGCAGCAGUGGGGAAUUUUGGACAAUGGGGGCAACCCUGAUCCAGCCAUGCCGCGUGCGGGAAGAAGGCCUUCGGGUUGUAAACCGCUUUUGUCAGGGAAGAAAUCCUCUGAGUUAAUACCUCGGGGGGAUGACGGUACCUGAAGAAUAAGCACCGGCUAACUACGUGCCAGCAGCCGCGGUAAUACGUAGGGUGCAAGCGUUAAUCGGAAUUACUGGGCGUAAAGCGUGCGCAGGCGGUUGUACAAGACAGGUGUGAAAUCCCCGGGCUUAACCUGGGAACUGCACUUGUGACUGCACAGCUGGAGUGCGGCAGAGGGGGAUGGAAUUCCGCGUGUAGCAGUGAAAUGCGUAGAUAUGCGGAGGAACACCGAUGGCGAAGGCAAUCCCCUGGGCCUGCACUGACGCUCAUGCACGAAAGCGUGGGGAGCAAACAGG